rnacentral:rRNA from 1 species
GGGUUGUGAGGUUAAGCGACUAAGCGUACACGGUGGAUGCCCUGGCAGUCAGAGGCGAUGAAGGACGUGCUAAUCUGCGAAAAGCGUCGGUAAGGUGAUAUGAACCGUUACAGCCGGCGAUGUCCGAAUGGGGAAACCCAGUGUGAUUCGUCACACUAUCGUUAACUGAAUACAUAGGUUAACGAGGCGAACCGGGGGAACUGAAACAUCUAAGUACCCCGAGGAAAAGAAAUCAACCGAGAUUCCCCCAGUAGCGGCGAGCGAACGGGGAGCAGCCCAGAGUCUGAAUCAGCUUGUGUGUUAGUGGAACGGUCUGGAAAGUCCGACGGUACAGGGUGAUAGUCCCGUACACCAAAAUGCACAGGUUGUGAACUCGAAGAGUAGGGCGGGACACGUGGUAUCCUGUCUGAAUAUGGGGGGACCAUCCUCCAAGGCUAAAUACUCCUGACUGACCGAUAGUGAACCAGUACCGUGAGGGAAAGGCGAAAAGAACCCCGGCGAGGGGAGUGAAAAAGAACCUGAAACCGUGUACGUACAAGCAGUGGGAGCACCUUCGGGUGUGACUGCGUACCUUUUGUAUAAUGGGUCAGCGACUUAUAUUCUGUAGCAAGGUUAACCGUAUAGGGGAGCCGCAGGGAAACCGAGUCUUAACUGGGCGUUAAGUUGCAGGGUAUAGACCCGAAACCCGGUGAUCUAGCCAUGGGCAGGUUGAAGGUUGGGUAACACUAACUGGAGGACCGAACCGACUAAUGUUGAAAAAUUAGCGGAUGACUUGUGGCUGGGGGUGAAAGGCCAAUCAAACCGGGAGAUAGCUGGUUCUCCCCGAAAGCUAUUUAGGUAGCGCCUCGUGAAUUCAUCUUCGGGGGUAGAGCACUGUUUCGGCUAGGGGGUCAUCCCGACUUACCAACCCGAUGCAAACUACGAAUACCGAAGAAUGUUAUCACGGGAGACACACGGCGGGUGCUAACGUCCGUCGUGAAGAGGGAAACAACCCAGACCGCCAGCUAAGGUCCCAAAGUCAUGGUUAAGUGGGAAACGAUGUGGGAAGGCACAGACAGCCAGGAUGUUGGCUUAGAAGCAGCCAUCAUUUAAAGAAAGCGUAAUAGCUCACUGGUCGAGUCGGCCUGCGCGGAAGAUGUAACGGGGCUAAACCAUGCACCGAAGCUGCGGCAGCGACGCUUAUGCGUUGUUGGGUAGGGGAGCGUUCUGUAAGCCUGCGAAGGUGGCCUGUGAGGGCUGCUGGAGGUAUCAGAAGUGCGAAUGCUGACAUAAGUAACGAUAAAGCGGGUGAAAAGCCCGCUCGCCGGAAGACCAAGGGUUCCUGUCCAACGUUAAUCGGGGCAGGGUGAGUCGACCCCUAAGGCGAGGCCGAAAGGCGUAGUCGAUGGGAAACAGGUUAAUAUUCCUGUACUUGGUGUUACUGCGAAGGGGGGACGGAGAAGGCUAUGUUAGCCGGGCGACGGUUGUCCCGGUUUAAGCAUGUAGGCGGAGGUUCCAGGUAAAUCCGGUACCUUUUAACGCUGAGGUGUGAUGACGAGGCACUACGGUGCUGAAGUAACAAAUGCCCUGCUUCCAGGAAAAGCCUCUAAGCAUCAGGUAACAUUAAAUCGUACCCCAAACCGACACAGGUGGUCAGGUAGAGAAUACCAAGGCGCUUGAGAGAACUCGGGUGAAGGAACUAGGCAAAAUGGUGCCGUAACUUCGGGAGAAGGCACGCUGGUGUGUAGGUGAAGUCCCUGCGGAUGGAGCUGAGACCAGUCGAAGAUACCAGCUGGCUGCAACUGUUUAUUAAAAACACAGCACUGUGCAAACACGAAAGUGGACGUAUACGGUGUGACGCCUGCCCGGUGCCGGAAGGUUAAUUGAUGGGGUUAUCCGUAAGGAGAAGCUCUUGAUCGAAGCCCCGGUAAACGGCGGCCGUAACUAUAACGGUCCUAAGGUAGCGAAAUUCCUUGUCGGGUAAGUUCCGACCUGCACGAAUGGCGUAAUGAUGGCCAGGCUGUCUCCACCCGAGACUCAGUGAAAUUGAACUCGCUGUGAAGAUGCAGUGUACCCGCGGCAAGACGGAAAGACCCCGUGAACCUUUACUAUAGCUUGACACUGAACAUUGAGCCUUGAUGUGUAGGAUAGGUGGGAGGCUUUGAAGCGUGGACGCCAGUCUGCGUGGAGCCAACCUUGAAAUACCACCCUUUAAUGUUUGAUGUUCUAACGUUGGCCCCUUAUCGGGGUUGCGGACAGUGUCUGGUGGGUAGUUUGACUGGGGCGGUCUCCUCCCAAAGAGUAACGGAGGAGCACGAAGGUUAGCUAAUCCUGGUCGGACAUCAGGAGGUUAGUGCAAUGGCAUAAGCUAGCUUGACUGCGAGCGUGACGGCGCGAGCAGGUGCGAAAGCAGGUCAUAGUGAUCCGGUGGUUCUGAAUGGAAGGGCCAUCGCUCAACGGAUAAAAGGUACUCCGGGGAUAACAGGCUGAUACCGCCCAAGAGUUCAUAUCGACGGCGGUGUUUGGCACCUCGAUGUCGGCUCAUCACAUCCUGGGGCUGAAGUAGGUCCCAAGGGUAUGGCUGUUCGCCAUUUAAAGUGGUACGCGAGCUGGGUUUAGAACGUCGUGAGACAGUUCGGUCCCUAUCUGCCGUGGGCGCUGGAGAAUUGAGGGGGGCUGCUCCUAGUACGAGAGGACCGGAGUGGACGCAUCACUGGUGUUCGGGUUGUCAUGCCAAUGGCACUGCCCGGUAGCUAAAUGCGGAAGAGAUAAGUGCUGAAAGCAUCUAAGCACGAAACUUGCCCCGAGAUGAGUUCUCCCUGAGACUUUAAGUCUCCUGAAGGAACGUUGAAGACGACGACGUUGAUAGGCCGGGUGUGUAAGCGCAGCGAUGCGUUGAGCUAACCGGUACUAAUGAACCGUGAGGCUUAACCUUACAACGCCGAAG